rnacentral:rRNA from 1 species
UGCUGAUGGAUCACUAACGUCCACAAACGACUACUUGUUACUUGAAAGUAAGAAAAUCAUUGAGGUUUGAACUUCCAAGUGCAACAAAGCUGACURUCUAGGUCUAAAAAGCCUCAACAGUUUCAGCAUUUAACGGCUUGCUUGGGUAUCUAUGGUUGGUUGAGCAGUUGUGUCACACGUCCGUGGCUGCUAAGACACURRCCGGUAGAGUCGCUUURAUGGCUGACUUUAGAUUCGAUGACCCGUUGUGGCGCCCAAGAAUCAUUAUUCAUUUAAAUACUUUUAUGAACUAAAUAGCAAUUUAGCUAUAUCGGUGGAUCACUUGGCUCGUAGAUCGAUGAAGAACGCAGUGAAUUGCGUUAAGAAUCACGAAUUACAGAUAUUAUGAGUGAUAUGUUUUCGAUUGCAUAUUGCACCGUUGGGCAUUUGCUCAUCGGUAUACCCAAUUCAGGGUGUGUAUCCCAAUCAAAUUGAUACAAUGCACUUGUUGGUUGUGUCAAAAUUCAUAAGUUGUUGUUUUGUGUAGAAAGGCCAUUGUGUGUUUUAAAAUGAAAGUUAUAAGACAUGCAUGGACGACAAAGCAGCGAUUUAACCGAAUCUACCUGAAUUGGAUAUGAUCAC